AGUUUGAUCCUGGCUCAGAAUCAACGCUGGCGGCGUGCCUAACACAUGCAAGUCGCACGAGAAAGGGACCUCGGUCCUGAGUACAGUGGCGCACGGGUGAGUAACACGUGAAUCAUCUACCUUCGAGUGGGGAAUAACUGAGAGAAAUCUUAGCUAAUACCGCAUAAUACCUACGGGUCAAAGCAGCAAUGCGCUUGAAGAGGAGUUCGCGGCAGAUUAGUUAGUUGGCGGGGUAAUGGCCCACCAAGACGAUGAUCUGUAUCCGGCCUGAGAGGGCGCACGGACACACUGGAACUGAAACACGGUCCAGACUCCUACGGGAGGCAGCAGUGGGGAAUUUUGCGCAAUGGGGGAAACCCUGACGCAGCAACGCCGCGUGGAGGAUGAAAUCCCUUGGGAUGUAAACUCCUUUCGAUCGGGAAGAUAAUGACGGUACCGAGAGAAGAAGCCCCGGCUAACUUCGUGCCAGCAGCCGCGGUAAUACGAGGGGGGCAAGCGUUGUUCGGAAUUAUUGGGCGUAAAGGGUGCGUAGGCGGUUUGAUAAGUUUGAUGUGAAAUCUCUGGGCUCAACCCAGAGUCUGCAUCGAAAACUGUCGGGCUUGAGUAUGGGAGAGGUGAGUGGAAUUUCCGGUGUAGCGGUGAAAUGCGUAGAUAUCGGAAGGAACACCUGUGGCGAAAGCGGCUCACUGGACCAUUACUGACGCUGAUGCACGAAAGCUAGGGGAGCAAACAGGAUUAGAUACCCUGGUAGUCCUAGCCCUAAACGAUGAUUGCUUGAUGUGGUGGGUACCCAAUCCCGCCGUGUCG
rnacentral:rRNA from 1 species